rnacentral:rRNA from 1 species
UACAGAGGUCUCAAGCGUUGUUCGGAUUCAUUGGGCGUAAAGGGUGCGUAGGUGGCGCCGUAAGUCAGGUGUGAAAUUUCGGAGCUUAACUCCGAAACUGCAUUUGAUACUGCGGUGCUUGAGGACUGGAGAGGAGACUGGAAUUCACGGUGUAGCAGUGAAAUGCGUAGAUAUCGUGAGGAAGACCAGUGGCGAAGGCGGGUCUCUGGACAGUUCCUGACACUGAGGCACGAAGGCCAGGGGAGCAAACGGGG